UACGAAGGGGGCUAGCGUUGCUCGGAAUGACUGGGCGUAAAGGGCGCGUAGGCGGCUUGGCAAGUCAGGCGUGAAAUUCCUGGGCUCAACCUGGGGCUGCGCUUGAGACUGCUGGCUUGAGGAUGGAAGAGGCUCGUGGAAUUCCCAGUGUAGAGGUGAAAUUCGUAGAUAUUGGGAAGAACACCGGUGGCGAAGGCGGCGAGCUGGUCCAUUACUGACGCUGAGGCGCGACAGCGUGGGAGCAAACAGG
rnacentral:rRNA from 1 species